rnacentral:rRNA from 1 species
UACGAAGGGGGCUAGCGUUGCUCGGAAUCACUGGGCGUAAAGGGUGCGUAGGCGGGUCUUUAAGUCAGGGGUGAAAUCCUGGAGCUCAACUCCAGAACUGCCUUUGAUACUGAAGAUCUUGAGUCCGGGAGAGGUGAGUGGAACUGCGAGUGUAGAGGUGAAAUUCGUAGAUAUUCGCAAGAACACCAGUGGCGAAGGCGGCUCACUGGUCCGGUACUGACGCUGAGGUGCGAAAGCGUGGGGAGCAAACAGGG